AAAGGGCCGCAAGCUAAAAGGGUGUGCCAAUUAGAGAGGGGAGCUACGAAAAGGCUAAACAAAAAAUAGAGAGGGAGGCUGCGGAGAAUGAGAAGAAAACAGAGCAAAACAGAGGAAGUGAAAAGGGGGCUAAGAGUAAGAAAUAGCCAAGGGGGUGGCGGACCGAGAGGAAGGAGAGAAACGAAAAAAAAACAAAGGGAAGAAUUCAAUUGGAAAAGAGAGAGGAGAGGAUUCGGCUGAGUGAGAGAACCAAAGAAAGAAAAGGAGGGAGAUAGACAGAAACGAGAGAGCUCUCGGCUGAAAAAAGAAGGAAAAGAAACAGAGCAAGGCUACGGGAAAGAGUAACAAAAAAAAUAGAGGGGGAUUGGCGGCUGGUGUGGUGGAGAAAGAAUUGAAGCAAAAGAAACCGAAAGGGAAACCUGGGAAACUUGGGGAGGUUUUCGGAGGACAGAACAGAGAGAGAGCCGAACAAAAAAUCUGAGCGACGGAAGAACAGGAAAAAGAAAGGAAACCAGAGGGGAGAGGAAAGAGACUUUGGCGGGGAAAAGAAAAAUGAAGAAAAACAGAGGGCGGUGGACGGAGGAGCUAAGAGAGAUUGGGAGUGGCGGCUAAAAAAACAAAGCAACAAAGAAAGGCUGAAAAAGAAGCUUCGGGCAGUUGAAGGCUUGGGCGAGGGAAAAAGGAACAGAGGACAACCGAGAGCUAGAAGGAGAAGAGCAGAGGAGCGGUUGGAAAAGACUGGAGCUGGCCGGAAUCUACUGCCAUCACCGACGAGCCUCCACCGAGAGGGUAAGGUAAACUAUCCCUUUCCUUCAAAUUUCAUGCUCAGAUUCUUAAAGCUCAAAGCAGAUUUGUUUACCACAAUUUUUCAGUGAUUAUCCGCAAUUUUGGACAUGCCUGUUUUAUGUAUUGAGUGGGUUGAAUUUCUUUGGGUUUCUGAUGAAUUUUUGGGGCUAAUUAACCUCUAAUUGAACAAAGAAUUCGGUGAAACUCCUUAUGCCCAGUUGCUGUUCGACAAAAUGCCUAAAACAAAGUUUUGAACCAAUUUCAUGCGUUUUUCUACAUACGUGCGAGAGGGAUUCUAGCCAGCGUGCGUUUGUUAGUUGGGUUAUGAUUGUUUCAUCAUGUCAGAUUCCAGUUCUCCGAAUGUAUCAAGAAAGCCGCUGUUCUGUUUUCAUUUCGCUCACUUGCUGGUUCAAUAAGUGUGUUUCUUUCUUUUGCUGUUAUUUCUUUUCUCUUUGGCAGUCAUCAAUUCAGUUUUUUGCCUUAAUCUUGCAAUAAAUGUUGUCGGUGCAACUUCCUAAUGUGCAAAAGUUGAUAGCAUGCUACAUCGGAAAGACUGCAUUUCUGCAGAUUUGUUGCAUGAGGGAGACUGUCAUGUUUGUUUGUGUAGUGGUCAAGAUCAUUGGAUUAGUUUUGCCACGGGUUGUUGUUCAUUUGCUUGCUGCUAUUCGUUUGAAGCCUGUGUGCUGGAUGCGAAUAGAAUCACAUUCAAAUGCCAUUGUGUAUGAAUUUGCACUAACAUGAUCCAAAACUUUUGUGGUAUAUGGAUAAUCCAUAGUCCGUGUGUAGUUGUUUUGUUUUCUUGGUUUGUUUUGUGAAGUUACCUGAAGGGACACAACCAUUUUCAUUCGGUAGUCUCAAAACGCAGCUUGGCCUGCAAAUUUUGCAUGCAGAAAAUGAAGUUUUGGCUGGAUUCUUUUACUACAUUUUGCUGUUUUGUCUUUGUUUUCUUGGCUCGGUUUCUAUCCGAGGGAUUCAUCAGAGCUGAACAACCAUGUUUGAGUUGAGAAUUUGUGGAGUUACGUGAAUUUGGGUUGAUAAACAAUGAGUGUUGGGCAAUGUUUUGAUGGAUUUGGUUUGAAGUCUUUUGCCGAAAGCUUCAUAAGUUUGAGGAACUUUGUUACAGAAUGUUUCUCACGUCGUUGCAUGAAGAUUGCAUGAAAUAACUUUCUAAAAUUGCACUUUGGCCCCCCAAGUCUCCCUUUGUUUCACUAUGGCCCAAAUUUUUGGAAAAAUUGAACUAAUUUUGUCCUUUUAAGUUUAAUUUUCUAUUUGAGUAUUUUAUGUGACUUUGUGGAUAGAUUAAUUCUUGAUUUUGGGUCAUGAUUGUGGCUCAAUAAUUUUGUUCAUUUUAUCAUGUUGGGUAAGAGUUUUGUUUGGUUGGACUUGGUAAUGGACUAUGGUAUAUUUCUUUUGGAUUUAUAAUUUGGUGUGGAGGCUUAAGCCCGUAAUUUUGUAUGAGUUGGAUUGGUGUAAAUGAUGGGUUAGCCCACUUGUUUUUCCUUGGGCCUCCGAUUGGGCCAAGAUCACUUGGCCCAAGAAAAGUUAAAGAUGGCUUAGUGGCCUUGUCUCCUAAGAGACCAGAAACGAAAUUGCAAAUCAGCCCUUGUAUUUUCCCUUAACUAUACUGUGUCCCUGGAAACUUUCCAUUUCUUUCAAUUGGUUCCCUAACUUAAUUGCAAAUAGGUCCCCAAAUUUUAUUUCUCUUUAAUUUUGACCAAAGCUUUGUUAAUUUUUGCAAUCAAGUCCUUUUUUUCUUUUGACUUCUUGCUUAUAUGAUUUAAUUGAUUCAAUUUCACAAUUCAUUUUUAUCUUUUAUGAAUAUUUGUUAAUUAAAGUGAUGCCUUGACCUUUUCUUUGUAUUUUGGAGGGUAAAUAAGUGAUUUCAUUUCAUUGGGCCCCAAUUCAAGGGAGGUACACCCUAAUCCCUUAUUUUUACUUUAUUUGACCCUACGUGCUCCUACGUGUUAUGAGUGAAUAUGCAUGCUUUAAUUUGCUUUCCAUUUUGAUUUAAUUGCCUAUUUUGCUUUCUUUUCAUUUCGCCUUUUUAAUUGGCAAGUCAUUUGAAAGGCACUUGAAUGCCAAGUUUGUAAUAGUUAGGUAUUUAUUUUAAUUAUUUAUUUAUUUCCCCUUUAGAUUGUAGUAGGGCCUCCCCAAAUGUAAUAGUUAGGGCUUAUUUGUUUUUUAUGUGAUUUGCAUGCUUACGUGCUAUGUGUUACCGCUUUCUUAGGGUUUUGCAUCUAGAUACCAUGCUUAUGUGUUAUGUGCUAUAUGUGAUUUAUGUGUUUAUUUGCUUUAUUCGCCUUUAUAUAAUUUAUUUGAUUUGUAAUGAAUGUGUGACGUCACCACACUAGUCCAACGCUAGUUGUGGCCUUUGUCCUGGAUUUUCCACUAGUCCAAUGCUAGUAGGAAUUCAUAGAUAUGGGCUAGUCCAAUGCUAGACCCUUAGGGACCUCUUUCUCGCUAGUGCAUUUUUUGUAUGUUUCACUACAUUUCAUGCAUUUUUCUUAGCUUUUUUUUAGCAUUUGGCAUGCCCCUCCAACCCUUUCCCCUUCAUUUUAGGUUUUUGCAUCCUCAUGCUAGGUAUAGGGUACAUUUGCCUGAGAGUCCCCUUUCGAUAAGGGAAACGAGCGAGUGUGGCUACAAAAUAGCCUUAGCACGCUAGUUCUUCCUUCUAAUCAAAGGGAAAAUUAAAGUCGUGAAAUUAGGAGUCAUUCCCGUACCCGACUUGAUGCAUUCCUCUAGGAUCAUGCACUCUCAUUCUUAUCAUAUCACUUCCUCACUCUUUUAUCCACAUUUUUGCACAACUUAUAUUUUUCUCAAUCCACAUGCCAUGUUUGCACAUUUUUCUUCUUUUAUCAUUUAUUUUCUACCUCACAAAUUGCACCCAAUUGCACUUAUAUGUAUCUACUAUUAUAUUUUCAUCCACUAGCACACAAACACCUUUAUUUUCUCAAUUGGCACACAUGCACUUUUCUCAAUUGGCACACAUGCACUUUUCUCACAUUUGCACACUUGCACUUUUCUUACAUUUGCACACUUGCAUUUUUCUUACAUUUGCACACUUACACUCAUACUUGAGUCUUCAUUUGCAUUAUUCAUGACCUCUAUGAGGGCUUUCCUUAUUGGCCACCACAACUCAUGUGGUUGGGACCAAAAGCCUCAUAAGAGACAUUUUAGAUUUAGGAUUGCAUUUUUCUUUCCUUUUUCAUAUCUAUUAGUCACAUCCAACAUGCAACGCAUAUUUUGGGUAGAAGAAUUAAGAAAAGUGGGGCUAAAUCACGCAACUAGCUCUUGCUAGGGUAAGGGAGUGCCUUAGGCUUUGCCUUUGCCUUCUCCCUUAUCAAAUGUGACCCCCGAUCCCUUUCUUUGGUUACAUAGACCUAAAAGUUCUUUAAAAGGGUUUGUUUACUUUUUCGUUCAAAAUACUAAAAUCAUUUUUGGGUGACUUGGUACACCCUAACUCUAUACCAAGUGGCGACUCCAUUUUCCAUUCAAAAACCCUUUUUGAACUUUUUUUGGCCAAAUCGUCGCAUUUUCAAGUCCCACGGCCUUUUAUUUUCAUUUUCACACACGUUCACAUACAUAUUCCACACACUACUUUCACACUAUCAAAAAGUGGGGCGCGACACUUCUAAAUGUCGUGCAAGCCCGGAGUGGUAUGUACGGUGGAUGGACAUGAGAAGUAAGUGGAGAUCUACGGAAUGGAAAUACCGACCUGGUUGACGUAGAGUCAUCGCGGGAAGGUAUACGAAUGACCCUGGCAAAGCAAGUGGAACUUAGCUCCUGAGAGUUGCCAUAUCCUUGAAUUGUUUCUGUUUACAUUUUAUUGGAAUUGUCAAUUACUUAUGCUUUAUCUACUGACCUGUUAUUUGGGAUUGUUACUUCGACUAUGUGCUUGCAUGUGUGUUCUUGGUCUCACGAGCGUUUUGCUCACCCUGUAGAUUUGUUUUCCUUAAUAGGAUUGGACAUGGAAUGAACUUGGAGAAACCCCUUUCGAUGUACUUUUGGCUUAGGGUUUCUAAUGUAAUUUGGGCUAGACCUCUUAUUGGUUGUACUUUUGGGAAUCUAAUGCAUGAUUUGGAUAUUUGAUGUAUUUGGAUGUUGUAUAUUUUGGACAUUGAAGUAUCUUUUGGAUAUUCGAGGUAAGGCUUGGAUAAUCGUUAUAAAUUGUUAAGUUUGAAAGCUUCCGCAUAUUUGACUUGUUUUAUCUAGUUGUGAUGUCUAGUAUUGCAUUAAGCUUGAAUGAAAAUUACUUGAGUCUUGGUGAGAGUUGGGCAGGC
rnacentral:lncRNA from 1 species